rnacentral:rRNA from 1 species
UAGGGAAUCUUCGGCAAUGGACGAAAGUCUGACCGAGCAACGCCGCGUGAGUGAAGAAGGUUUUCGGAUCGUAAAACUCUGUUGUUAGAGAAGAACAAGGACGUUAGUAACUGAACGUCCCCUGACGGUAUCUAACCAGAAAGCCACGGCUAACUACGUGCCAGCAGCCGCGGUAAUACGUAGGUGGCAAGCGUUGUCCGGAUUUAUUGGGCGUAAAGCGAGCGCAGGCGGUUUCUUAAGUCUGAUGUGAAAGCCCCCGGCUCAACCGGGGAGGGUCAUUGGAGACUGGGAGACUUGAGUGCAGAAGAGGAGAGUGGAAUUCCAUGUGUAGCGGUGAAAUGCGUAGAUAUAUGGAGGAACACCAGUGGCGAAGGCGGCUCUCUGGUCUGUAACUGACGCUGAGGCUAGAAAGCGUGGGGAGCAAACAGG